UGGAAAGCGACGAUAGGCAUAACGCGGUAGAGAUUCGCGCAUUUUGUUAUAUAAUGGGUUGAAAAAACUUUGAUCUCGCAAGGUUAUCACAAAAAUGAAGUGACAAAAAUUCUCUCCAGGGCGUGUGUUUAAAAUCUAAAAUCUACAACUAGUGAUGAUAAUACUGCUAUGCCAGUCAUUUGAUAUGGAACUUCUCUAUGCUACCUGGUUGACUAUGGGUGUACUCACUGGUUGAGAGUUUUGGUUAUGCUGAGUAUUCAGAGGUAUGGGUCUCCCAGAAUUACUGCAAUUAUCUGUAUGAGA
rnacentral:lncRNA from 1 species